CAUGUGACCUGAGUGCUGCUCAUCAGAUGUGUGAAUAAACCUGGUUCUGAGCUUUUAUUACUAAAUCUGUGGUGCGUUGGUAGAGAGGUGGCUGGAGAUCCACCUGUGACACUAACCUUGUUUCUUCAUAGCUGAAUCACUGGCCUGUCUUCUUUAGGUUUAGAGGCUGCUACUGCCCCCUACUGACCUGGAGCACAAACCUACGACUGCUGACAAUAAACAGUGGAGCCACGGAACAACAAAAACAAUUAGAGUCUGGACCUCCUACUAAAGGAUGUGUGUCCUGGAACUACGAGCUUCUGGAGUCUUUCAUGUGAGUCUCACAGAUCACUUCGUCCCACUGGUGACGCUGUAUCGCAGGGUUGCAGUAAUUGUAAUAGUGAGUGUCUGUCUGCGACACUGCAGGACAUGAGCAGAGACAGACGGGUUCAUCCUGUGCUCGCUCCGCGGCCUCUGUCGCUCCUCUCUCUCCCUUCACACCACCCAGAUGGCGCAGGAGCCACUCAGUCGUAGCUCUUAUCUGUGAAAAUUGCUCAAGUCGGCGCGUGGCAAAUACCUGCUGCCGCUGCCUCUGAUUCCCCUUGAAGGAGGCAGACACGUGUCGGCGCGAGUGAGAGCUGCAGACGGAAGCCAGUGUGCGUCUGGGCGUGAUUGCCACCGCGGGAGCUGGAGGAUGUCAGCUGGUGUGCGUGCACUUGUGAGAGCGGGGACUGCGCGGUGCCGGGACGCGUGCGAGCGUGUGCAGCCGAUCCACGACAAGCCGAGUGUGACAGCUCAGCGCUCCUCUCUUCCGCCGCCAGCGCCGCCGGAGCCACAAUGAUAGAGGACGAAGCCGGCCGAGGAUGGGCCUCGAUGCAGAGUUCAGGCCUUCAGCAGACGCGUGGCCGCUCGGGUUCAGUGGAUGAAGGAGAAGCGGCCGGCGUCGACUUCAGUCACAGAUUUAGAGGAAACUAUCGAAAGUUAAAGCACAACGAGAGGCAGACUUUUAUGGACUUUCUGCUUCAUGGAUACAAAUAAACGCUGACACACGUUUAUCAUCGGCCCUCGUCGGCCAUCUUGGUGCCUGCACCUCCACUGGCUGGUGGUUUUUGUGCUGUAGGAGCAUUUUCAGCCCCGCCCUCUUUCUCCUCCCGCGUGCACGUCAGUCUCGUCCAGCCGCAGAUAUCAUUUAUAAUUAUGCAAAGCAGUUUUUCCUCGUCGCACGGACGAAAGCAAUUUUUCUAUGCAAAUGGUUAAAUUCCCUGUGAGGCUCACCAGGCUGAUAAACGUGCUAAUGAUGAGUGACGGCGGGAGAUAUUGGGGUCACGGCACGUGCGACACUGAUGAAAAUGAUCAACUAAAUGCCAGAAGUGUCCUCAGAGCUGUGCGUCGGGUUGGAGCUGUGGCGAUUAGUAACGAGAGAACAUCUGAGUGGUGUUUAAAUGGAAGAGGCUCAUAAUAUUCAUUUCCUUCAAGUCUGUUGAGAUGAGAAUUGAUGAUGGUUCAGAUCCUGAUCGCAGGGUGAUACGAACCCAUGGACUUGGGUGAUGAUCCUAACUCAUCCGGUUGCUUUGCUGUUUUAACGGCUGUUUGACCUUUGACCUUAACCACGUCUGACCCAGAACCCAAGCUGACGUCUGCAGCUGUGGUCGGACCUGGAUGUGUUAGCGGUUCAGAGGUGGACAGAACCAUGAGCAUGAUCAGCCUCCAUGUGUGGUGUUGGGUCUGUGCGUGGACAGCAGCAUGUUGGUGUCAGCGCUACCGGUGGAGAUUUAACAACGUAAUGUCUGAGGCUGAUUAUAUGUGUGAAGACAAAAACCUCUUCUCUCUAAAUCUGAGUACAUUUAAAAAGGGCAGCAGCCAAGUUUGGUGCUGCAGGUUUUGUUCCUUCCACUAAUAUUUGUUGAGCUCACUGUCGUGGGCCACAUGUACUAUCUGGAUGAUGGUACAUGUUGUAUUUGUACUUUCCUGGACUCGUGUUACUUGUGAUUCAUUACAACCUGAUUUAGCUGUUGAUCUAAGUCAUGGAGCUAUGAAUGAAGCCUGGUGAAAGAGCCCUCGUGUCAGAUUUAAGCUGCAGCUGCUCCAUGAAACAGAUGUUGAACCGCCCACACAGAUGCUGAAUUCAUUGUGUAUCAUUUUGUCCUGGGCACAAAUCCCAUAAAUACAGCAGGAAGAAAAAAAACUCACGGGUCAGAGACGCGUUGCGAUGCGUCCACAGUCAGACUUUAUUCACAAGUUGUUUACACCAAUAGAACAAAAUAUCAUCUGUUGUUUGUGGUUCUGAUUCCUGUACAGUGUUGCAGCAGACGAGCAGCGGGGGGUCUGACCGACGGAGCUUCCUGCAACCAGCGCCCUAACUCCCACUGCAGUGUGACAGCAUCUGUGAAAGGCAAACCCAACGCUGGGCCUUAAGGGCUCCUAACGGGAGCUCCGUGCAGCAGGAUGGGGUUUGGUGGUGAAAAAUGGACUCCAAUGCUGCACUGUUACAUCACGUUGAGGCCGCUAAGUUUUUCUACUGAUUUAACCGUGAUUCGCGAAGGUUAAACGUGAUGAUCCUUCGGCUCUCGCAGUCUCACGCGAGCGGCUAAUAGAUAAACCAACGUCUGCUAAGCUCAUGUGGAGGCCACGGAAAUGCACAACACUGAAUAAACAGCAAGGCUCUAGUAGCGUCACACAACUAGAAAUGAAUGGAGGUGAGUGAAGGCUAUCGUUACAUCACGAUGCUGUGGGUUCUGCUGCUUUCACGCGGUUCAUUCCUAGAUUCCUUUGGA